CCUACGGGAGGCAGCAGUGGGGAAUUUUGGACAAUGGGCGAAAGCCUGAUCCAGCAAUGCCGCGUGCAGGAAGAAGGCCUUCGGGUUGUAAACUGCUUUUGUACGGAACGAAACGGUCUGCUUUAAUACAGUGGGCUAAUGACGGUACCGUAAGAAUAAGCACCGGCUAACUACGUGCCAGCAGCCGCGGUAAUACGUAGGGUGCGAGCGUUAAUCGGAAUUACUGGGCGUAAAGCGUGCGCAGGCGGUUAUAUAAGACAGUUGUGAAAUCCCCGGGCUCAACCUGGGAAUUGCAUCUGUGACUGUAUAGCUAGAGUACGGUAGAGGGGGAUGGAAUUCCGCGUGUAGCAGUGAAAUGCGUAGAUAUGCGGAGGAACACCGAUGGCGAAGGCAAUCCCCUGGACCUGUACUGACGCUCAUGCACGAAAGCGUGGGGAGCAAACAGGAUUAGAUACCCUGGUAGUCCACGCCCUAAACGAUGUCAACUGGUUGUUGGGUGCAUUAGUACUCAGUAACGAAGCUAACGCGUGAAGUUGACCGCCUGGGGAGUACGGCCGCAAGGUUGAAACUUAAAGGAAAUUGACGG
rnacentral:rRNA from 1 species